rnacentral:rRNA from 1 species
UCAGGAUGAACGCUGGCGGCGUGCUUAACACAUGCAAGUCGAACGAGGGUAGUAAGGUACGGAAGUUUUCGGACGGAAGAUCUUGUACUGAGUGGCGGACGGGUGAGUAACGCGUGGGAAACCUGCCCUGUUCCGGGGGAUACCAGUUGGAAACGACUGUUAAUACCGCAUAAGCGCACAGCACCGCAUGGUGCAGUGUGAAAAACUCCGGUGGAACAGGGAUGGUCCCGCGUCUGAUUAGGCAGUUGGCAGGGUAACGGCCUACCAAACCGACGAUCAGUAGCCGGCCUGAGAGGGUGAACGGCCACAUUGGGACUGAGACACGGCCCAAACUCCUACGGGAGGCAGCAGUGGGGAAUAUUGCACAAUGGAGGAAACUCUGAUGCAGCGACGCCGCGUGAGUGAUGAAGUAUUUCGGUAUGUAAAGCUCUUUCAGCAGGGAAGAUAAUGACGGUACCUGCAUAAGAAGCCCCGGCUAACUACGUGCC